GACGAACGCUGGCGGCGUGCUUAACACAUGCAAGUCGAACGGAAAGGCCCUGCUUGCAGGGUACUCGAGUGGCGAACGGGUGAGUAACACGUGGGUGAUCUGCCCUGCACUUCGGGAUAAGCCUGGGAAACUGGGUCUAAUAACGGAUAGGAGCCAUUUUUAGUGUGAUGGUUGGAAAGUUUUUUCGGUGUAGGAUGAGCUCGCGGCCUAUCCGCUUGUUGGUGGGGUAAUGGCCUACCAAGGCGGCGACGGGUAGCCGGCCUGAGAGGGUGGACGGCCACAUUGGGACUGAGAUACGGCCCAGACCGCGACGGGAGGCAGCAGUGGGGAAUAUUGCACAAUGGGCGCAAGCCUGAUGCAGCGACGCCGCGUGGGGGAUGACGGCCUUCGGGUUGUAAACUCCUUUCGCUAGGGACGAAGCUUUUUGUGACGGUACCUAGAUAAGAAGCACCGGCUAACUACGUG
rnacentral:rRNA from 1 species